rnacentral:rRNA from 1 species
UACGGGGGGAGCAAGCGUUGUUCGGAUUUACUGGGCGUAAAGGGCGCGUAGGCGGUAGCACAAGUCAGUUGUGAAAUCUCCGGGCUUAACCCGGAAAGGUCAACUGAUACUGUGCGACUAGAGUGCAGAAGGGGCAACUGGAAUUCUCGGUGUAGCGGUGAAAUGCGUAGAUAUCGAGAGGAACACCUGCGGCGAAGGCGGGUUGCUGGGCUGACACUGACGCUGAGGAGCGAAAGCGUGGGGAGCGAACAGG